GGAUAAGGAUGUGUCUACAGGCUUUCAGGAUUGGUGGGAAGACUUAAAAAUGCUAUUUCAAAGGUUCCUCCUGGAUCCAUUCCAGUCUGGAGAUGUUGGGAGUCCACGGCUCUGUCUCAGCGUUCCUCUCAGCUGCGGCUCCACUCCCACCACUCUGGCUUGGCGCAGCUUCCCGCUAGCUCCAUUUGUCUUUCUCCUCAGGAGAGAAGGAAGCUGACUGGUGGAGUCUUAUAGAAGAAUGGCAGGUGAUGCUGUGCCAGUGCUUAGAACUGGAUUCCUUGAAGACCUGCUCCAUGAUUUUUCCAGGCACUGAGGGCUCCAUAUCUGUUCUCCAGAAGAACUGUUGCUGGUGGAGAUGAAGAUUUCUGCUUGCUGCCAGAGGUCACAAGCUUCCAGCUUGCACCUUCCUGGCAGUCCAUGUCCUCUCCUUUCUCUAGUGCUGCCUCUGGCAGUCCUUCUAUCACAAUCCUAAAGAUCUCCUCCAGCAUUGAAUUGAUGAGCUCCUCAUGGUAGAGGAUGCUUUGGAGCCUCACCACCUCCUCCUGUUGCUCUCUCACCUGUUCCCUGAGAGACACCACAAGGAGGCACUGCAAGCACUGCCCCACCUGGCCAUCACUGGAAGGAAACUGCAAGCCAGAGUCCCCACAGUGCUAAACCUGGACCUGGGUGGAAGCCUCGAUGGUGAAAGGUCCUGCCUGGACAGAAACCUCAUAGGUGCAAGCAGAGGCAGUGGCUCUGGCAUUGCAAUGUCCUCCAGCCAUUUACCUGGAUCUCUUAAUCUGCCUCUUCUCUCUUACUGACCUACUUCCAAGCACACCUUCCCUAGUGAACUCACCUGAAAGCUGGCCUGUUUACUGUUCCUUGGCCCCAGGGUUCUUUUUUUCCUGCUUCCUCACACCAAGCUGAAAGGCUUUCCCCUCAAAGGGAUGUGGGGGGCAAAUUGACCUGUGAACUGACCAGCAAACUGCCUGCAAAGUGCUUACCCUGUUUCCUGUCCCUGUUUGCAGGGUCCCUGGUCAGUUGGGGGGGUCUCCUGUUAUACAUUGCUGGACCUGGAGUGGCUUCCCUCCCACAGUUGGUAAAAGAUAAGAUGGGGAAUAACUAGAGGAGGAUCCAGAGUGGGUGCAGUUGUAUGAUUGUAUGAUUGCAUACCCCUUUCUAACCACGCAGCAGGAGCAGCAGCCAGGCACUUUAAGUCCCUGAAGGUUGGAAUUCCCCCCAAUCUCCCUUUCCCACCAUGCUCAGAGUCCCAUUCCUGCCCUUCCCAUUCCCCACUUCUUUGUCUGCUGCUGACACUGACUUCACUUUCUUGGGAUUGAAGGGAGCUCCAGAGCUGCUCCUGCCAGGUUGCACGGAGGUUGAGCUCAUCCUGGGACAGCAGCAGCAGGAGGGAAGGUUUCUCCUCCUUGCCUGGUUACUCUAGGUGUUACCUACUAGCCCAGGAGCAGGCACAGGGAGGGUGAACCUGCUACUUCUGCUGCAGUCCCAGGCUGAGCCCAGCCCCUGUGCAGCCUGAUUGAAGUGGUUCUGGAGCUCCUCUUGCCCUCAGGACAGCAGGGAU